rnacentral:rRNA from 1 species
UACGUAGGGUGCAAGCGUUGUCCGGAAUUAUUGGGCGUAAAGAGCUCGUAGGCGGUUUGUCGCGUCUGCCGUGAAAGUCCGGGGCUCAACUCCGGAUCUGCGGUGGGUACGGGCAGACUAGAGUGAUGUAGGGGAGACUGGAAUUCCUGGUGUAGCGGUGAAAUGCGCAGAUAUCAGGAGGAACACCGGUGGCGAAGGCGGCAUCCUGGACCAAUUCUGACGCUGAGGAGCGAAAGCCAGGGGAGCAAACGGG